UACGGAGGGUGCAAGCGUUAUCCGGAUUCACUGGGUUUAAAGGGUGCGUAGGUGGCUUGGUAAGUCAGUGGUGAAAGCCCGGAGCUCAACUCCGGAACUGCCAUUGAUACUGCUUAGCUUGAAUCAGGUCGAGGUGGAUGGAAUAUUACAUGUAGCGGUGAAAUGCUUAGAUAUGUAAUAGAACACCGAUUGCGAAGGCAGUUCACUAGGCCUGUAUUGACGCUGAGGAGCGAAAGCAUGGGGAGCGAACAGG
rnacentral:rRNA from 1 species